rnacentral:rRNA from 1 species
AAAGGGUGCGUAGGCGGGCAGGUAAGUCAGUGGUGAAAUCUUGGGGCUCAACCCCGAAACUGCCAUUGAUACUAUUUGUCUUGAAUACUGUGGAGGUCAGCGGAAUAUGUCAUGUAGCGGUGAAAUGCUUAGAUAUGACAUAGAACACCGAUUGCGUAGGCAGCUGGCUACACAAAUAUUGACGCUGAGGCACGAAAGCGUGGGGAUCAAACAGGAUUAGAUACCCUAGU